rnacentral:lncRNA from 1 species
GAGCUCGUUGAUCCAAAACUGGGCCAAGACUACAACAAAGAGGAGGUGAUAACGAUGAUUAAUGUGGCUCUCCUCUGCAGUAAUGUCUCUGCAGCAGUUAGGCCUGCGAUGUCUUCAGUAGUAAGCAUGCUCGAAGGAAACGCUGCUGUUCAAGAUUUUGACAUUCCAGAUGAAAGCAUGUCAACGGAUGAGAAGAAGAUUGAACAAAUGAGGAGGCAUUUUCAAGUUAUCAACGAACAGGAAAUAAGUGAGACUCGUACUCUGUCAAUGGAUGGACCGUGGACUGCUGCUUCUACAUCUGCUGGUGAUCUUUAUCCAGUCUCUUUGGAUUCUG